AUACUUACCUGGCAGGGGAAAUACCAUGAUCAUGAAGAUGUUUUACCCAGGAUGAGGCUUAUCUAUUGCACUCUGGGUGCACUCCCUACAAUUUCCCCAAAUGUGGGAAACUCAACUGCAUAAUUUGUGGUAGUAGGAGACUGCGUUCAUGCUCUCCCCUG
rnacentral:snRNA from 1 species